GGGUCAUGGCUCUGACCCAGGCUACCGAGAUUUAGUUCGCCAGAGCUAAAGCAUUGUUCUAAUUUGCCUUUCUAGAAAAGGUGUAAAACCUCCGAUACCCUCGGUUGAAGGAAACUGAAACCACCGGAUCAUCCCAGCCAAUUGUUUUUCUGAGUCCGAGAGGUGGUUCUGGAGACCCUCUGCUGAGAGGCAAAACUCUUCUAAACAAGGGGAAGAGGUGGCAUAUGGGGAGCGGAGAGAGAAAGGUAAUGGCCACCUUCAAGGACUCGUCAAGAGUCUGAGAGAAGCACCCCGACUUUCCUGAAUGGAGCGGACCUCGAAGUCGGCCCCGGUCCCACACACGCCAGGCCCAGGAUGACAAAAGGGUGACAGUACGGCGAAUUUCCACGAACUCCCUUGGGAAUCCGAUGGAGCGUCAUCUGGGGAAGAGAAACCUGCAACCGCAGAGGGUGGUGAAAUCGGGAGCGGGCUGCAUUUCCAAGGAAAGAAAAGAAGAUGAAGAAAACCAAAGUGACAUAAAACUGCUUGGAGGCAGAAGGCAAGGAACUUAAACAAUGAAGGAAAUUCUCUGAUCUCUCUCUCCCCAGGAAGUUGAGCAACGAUAUGUGGCUGCAUCUACCAACUCUUGCACUGCACUCUCCCAAACGCUUAGUACAGUGCUCAGUAAGUACCCUUGAUUGAUUGAUUGAUUUUGUGUGAUGGCUAGAUCAUUGCCAGG